AAAGGAAUAAUAAGAAAGAGAUAAUAAACGAAUCAAAAGUCUAUUUAGCCUAGGGCACUAUUGAAAAUUUGUCUGAUUUUACCAUGAUUCAAUAAAAUAAUUAUAACUAUAAGCAUAAAAUUUUCAAGAGUAGUGUAGGGCACGUGCCCAUAUAGCCUUGCACAUAGAUCCGCCCCUGUUUAUAGUGCAAGGGGUACGAUGGCUUCGGGUGACGAUCCGAGAGCACGGUUUAGCGUGAUGACUCGAGAGCGAGUUUUGAGGUAUUAUUUUCUCCAAGUGUCGUAACUCGGUGACUUUGUAGCUGAGAGUGAGCCGACACAACUCUGGGUUUGACUUUGAGUAGGGAAGAUAAUACGUGUGAUACCCGAGAUACCGUAGGCCGAUGCUUGAAAGUGACGGUUUAUGCUCGAAGAUUGCGAUCUGAGAGUGGAGAGUGAGUUGUGAACAACAAUGACUAGUAAAUCGUGAGUAUAUCGACUGGAUAGAGAGACCUAGAGGGGGUCUGGUUGGAGGGAGUGCGGACCGUAGUGAUGGUUGCACGGAGUUCCCCGGAGUGGAAGGGUGAAGCUAGAUUCGAGGACGAAUCUAUGUUAGUGGGGGAGAAUUGUAACGCCCGUAAAUCGAAAAAUCGGUUAGAAUUUGUAUUUAAAUCGUCCGGUUUAAUCGAUUGGGUUAAUUGGAAACUCUAGAGUGUGCCUUUAAAAGAAGAAAACUCGAAAUUAAGGCUUUAGAUAGCCACUUUUCGUUUUAUAAAGGAGAAAAAGAGAGAGAAAGAGAAGACCAAAAUCAUUAGGGUUUGGGAAGAAACGGUUUCGACAUAUCAUAUCGUUGUCAAAGGUAACGAAAUUUGGUAGAGGAAUUUCCAAGUCUUUUAUCGUUAUUCUCCAGUUUACAUAAGUGGAUUUGGAUUAAAAUUGGUUGAGUUAUUCGCAGUUUCAUGAGAUACGUUUUCUCAGACGCGAAUUAGGACCAGCGGAGAUUGUAACUGAGAUCGUAGUCUCAUCUGGUUUCCGAUUGGCACGAGUUUUUGUGGGAAGCUUUGUGACGUGUAAGGCUAGCGUUUCACCGGAGGGAUUUAAUUGUUAACAGUUGGUUUGUAUUUUAGGGUUUCGUCUUUGAGACUGUUUGUUUCUGUUUUUCAUGUCCAGUUUGCUUCAAGGUUGCUUUUGGUUGUGACUUGUUGUAGGACGUUUCUGGACUGUUUCAGACGUAAGGAGAGUCUCUCCUGGGUUUAAUUGUUGUUAGAAUCAAUUUGUUAAGGUGAGUGUGUGACCAUGAGCUUAUCCGAGCGAUUGGGUUGUAUGAUUUAUUUUGUGUGAUGGUAUGUAGGUGUGGUGAAUGUGUUUUUUGGUGAAUUGUUAAAUGACUGAUUUGUUUAUGAUGUAUUUGUGAUUAUAC
rnacentral:sRNA from 1 species